CCAUCGCCGUCAUCAUUCUUUCGUUGCCACAAAAUCCGUACCUUGUCACCAUCUGACCAAAGGCACCUCCUUACAUGUGUGUUCUUUUUUAAUAUGGAGGCAAAAACUUAAAAAGAUAUGAUUUCGGUUGUCAAAUAACGAAAACAUCAACAGUAGAAUCUUUUUUUUAUUGUGUAGUAUCUUUUAUAUACACAAUCUAUGAAACACAUGUUGGAUCUCAACCACCACCACAACAUCUCCAUCCUCGGAUGUCAUCCACCAGAUCCGACCACCACCAUAACUACGUCUGUUAGAAAAAAACUAAAAAAGAUUAAGCGUGCCUUCCUCUCCAUUGUUCAUGGUGGCGCCGAUAAUGGACUGGUUGGCCGAAAUCGAGUCGGUUUCAUUUUCCGGUGAAAAGCUCUUGCUUCAGAAGAAUCCGGUGAAUGUCUACCGGAAAUUUGAUUAUUCAUCGCCGGUGGCAUCUCCGAGCAACCACUGCCAAUAGCCUUGUUUUCUCAUCGAUCAAAUGGGUUUGAAGAUGAGAUUGAUUAAUCAGAUGUCUCGGGCUUGUUGCGGGUUGUAUGUCGAUUCACGUGAUGACGUGAUCCAUAUCAAGUUUCUGGAUCUUUUGCGUGGCUAUAUUGUCUGAAUUGAAAAGAAGAAAAGUUUUAUCAUGUAUAAUUUGUGUGGUUGAAACAAGUACAAAUAAUUUUUUUUUAUUAAAAUUUACAAUAGUUGUAAUUAAAUGAUAAAAACUGAAAUUUGUGUGCAAUAUGCAUCUACUAAUUUGAUAGUCAA